CGCAACGGAUGUUUGUGAACCGUGUCAGGUCAGGAAUGGAGCAGCACUAAGCGAAAAGUUCCGUGUGCCGUAAGGGUGCCGGGGAGGAGCUAACUGUGAUGGUACCGUUUAUGAGUCGUGUUCAAAGCCGGAUGCACGG
rnacentral:SRP_RNA from 1 species